GAGAGAAGGUGAAUGGGAAGGGGGUUACAAACAGAAAAGAGACAACAACAACAAAAAAAUAUUCUGACUGGAUAUAUUCAGGAGCAACUUGGGAAAAACCUAACCUUUAGUGACACAAGCUAACUACUCUGACUGAUACACUUAUAUAAAUUAUGGCAGUGCUAAAGGGCUGAACACAAAAGAUCUGUCACUAUUCACUUUCAUUGUAUGGAAAACAACUGCAGUGAGAGUGAAUGGUUAGGCUGUCAUUCUGCCUUUUGUGUUCUACGGAAGAAAGAAAAGUCAUGGUUUGGAUCAACGUGAGGAUGGAAAGAGGGAUUAUCUUGGUGAUUUUAGGCAAAGAUUAGAGGACAGCAGAUGCCCUCUGUGGAUGGAGAGGAGCAUGAGGGAGGGGAGAAAGAAGAGAUGAAUAAAGGUAUAAGCAGAAAAACUGAUGAGCGUGCACGUGAGCAAGUAAUCAAAGUGAUGCUGGUGGGGGAAAAAAUGAUUUUUUUUUUAUUUUACAAAGGAGAUUCAUACAAACACACUGCUUAGUCUGCUGUCUAGAGCAGUGUCCUGUGCCUGUUUGAUCAGUCAUUAGUGCAAUGAAUAAAUAAUACACCGUUUAUACAUUUAAUUAGUUUUAUUGUACACAGGGAGUUUUCACAUAUACAAUUUGUACACAUUUUUUUACAAUUAUAUAAUUUUUCUCUACUCAUUUUUUAAAAUCUUUUUGUUUUUUGAUGACAAGUCAAGUAACAUUUAGGCAAACAAAAUAAGAAAGAAACAAAUUAAAUGUUUAGGAAAGAAGCGCGAAUACAAAAUACAAACACAUGAAGUAAAAUAACAUCCGAUUAUGUGUCAGAAUCAGAGAGUCACUAAUUUACCAUCAUCCUCUCUCCAUUCCCUAAUGCUGUUCUCUGAUUGGUUCCCUAAGCUCAUACUGCACUUUGACUGAAUAGCCUCUAAAUGGAUGUACAUGAUGAGGAAAAAUCUGCAUAUGCUGAGAUUACAGCCCCAUUCAUUUCUCACACAGAUCUAGAAACUCAGAAUUUCGGCACUUUUACCUUGAAAUUCACCUGCAUGGCAUUUUGUAUAUUUCUGUGUUUGUGUGUGUAUACAUAUAUUUGGACUCUUGGCAUUCAUGUAGCCUAACUGAAACAGCAGAUGACAUCAAAAUCAUGGGUUUCCAUGUAUACAUCUCGGAUAAAAGCGUCUGACAAAUGCAUAAAUGUAAAUGUAAUGUAUAAAUGAUUAAAAAUUAGCCUGGCAGUAAUAUAAGUAAACCUUGAACAUGCAUAAAACAGACUCACCCACAGAUUUAUUGAGAGUGUGUGUGCAUGUAAGCUUAUGAAAAUGUGUGUAUGUGAGUAAUAUAGUACAUCAGAGGACAAAAACACGCUUGUGAUCACUUGUGCACUGACCCAAUGAUGAGGAUCUGGGUCGUUUAAACUCACAAACACAUUCAGUAAUGUUUUAAAGGAACAGCUCACCCCAAAAUUAUAUCAUAUAAAACAUAUGACUUGUGAAAUAGUAAUUAAUGACAGAAUUCUUAUUUUUGGGUGACUGUCCCUUUAAGAAUAUUGUGUAUAAGUGCACAACAUUAUGAUCAAAUAAAUGUCUACACAUCCAUAGAUUUGCUUGAACCCUUUUACCAUAUUUAAAGCACUGGAUAAAACAAAAGGAAGUGAGCACAGUAAGGAAACAUACACACACUCACCGUGAGCACACACACAGAAGCUCAUUUACUGUAUACUCUUACACGACAACCAUGAACAUGUCUAAUAUCGCUGUGUCAUUUUAAGUGCAUUACAGUGAUUUUGGCAGGAAGCCUAAAAUACUGAACAUAUAAUUAACAGAGCACCACUGUAUUCUCAAUCUGACUCACAAGAAACUUACAUCUACACACACACCUUAUUGUGUAUGUUUAUAGAACAAUCAUCACAUAAUCUCCUUAUCAGUUUGGAAACGCAUUUGUUCUUUUACUCACUCACUCACUCAUUCA